GCCGCCUUGGCGUAGUGGUAGCGCGUCGCACUUGUAAAGCCUCAUGAAGGUUUUCCGCAAUGCGAAGGUCAUUCGUUCAAUCCGGGUAGGUGGCA